CAGCUAAAAAAGUCCCAAAGGCUCUUUAAAGAGCUAUUCCCUGAGGGUCUUUGCCUUCAUUAACUACAUACGGUCCCUUGGGGGAGCCAACCCAGGAGCUGCUGUACACAAAAUUUUGCGUAAAUUGGCCUCCACUGAAGUCCUGAGUGCCUACAGCAUGAAAGGGAGGAAGGGGGUGGUGAACGUCGGUCCUGGAGGUCACAGACCUGCAGAGUUUUGCUCCAGCUCUAAUCAAACACCCUUGAACAGGCUAAUCAAGGUCUAAAGAGUUACUAGAAAGCUAUGGGUUUAAUCAGGAUUUGA